rnacentral:rRNA from 1 species
UACGGAGGGGGCUAGCGUUGUUCGGAAUUACUGGGCGUAAAGCGCACGUAGGCGGAUUGCUAAGUCAGGGGUGAAAUCCUGGAGCUCAACUCCAGAACUGCCCUUGAUACUGGCGGUCUCGAGUCCGGGAGAGGUGAGUGGAACUGCGAGUGUAGAGGUGAAAUUCGUAGAUAUUCGCAAGAACACCAGUGGCGAAGGCGGCUCACUGGCCCGGUACUGACGCUGAGGCACGAAAGCGUGGGGAGCAAACAGG